rnacentral:rRNA from 1 species
AGAGUUUGAUCCUGGCUCAGGAUGAACGCUGGCGGCGUGCUUAACACAUGCAAGUCGAACGAGGAUUUAACGGAAUGCGAUUCGUCAAAUGAAAUUAAAUCCGAGUGGCGGACGGGUGAGUAACGCGUGGAUAACCUGCCUCACACAGGGGGACAACAGCCGGAAACGGCUGCUAAUACCGCAUAACACAAGUAAGUCGCAUGACUGACUUGCCAAAGAUUAUAUCGGUGUGAGAUGGAUCCGCGUCUGAUUAGCCAGUUGGCGGGGUAACGGCCCACCAAAGCGACGAUCAGUAGCCGACCUGAGAGGGUGACCGGCCACAUUGGGACUGAGACACGGCCCAAACUCCUACGGGAGGCAGCAGUGGGGAAUAUUGCACAAUGGGCGCAAGCCUGAUGCAGCGACGCCGCGUGAAGGAUGAAGUAUUUCGGUAUGUAAACUUCUAUCAGCAGGGAAGAAAACGACGGUACCUGACUAAGAAGCCCCGGCUAACUACGUGCCAGCAGCCGCGGU